GGCUCGAAGAUGCUAGUCUACGAACAACUUCGACAGCUGACCUCUUUCUUCUUCUACAAGCAUCUUGGAUACUCUAAAGUGAUAGAAGAUUUGGAGGAGGAAGAAAGGAGGAGGAAAAGAUGCUCUAGAAAUAAAAAAAUUACUAGAGAAUUGUUCAUGGGAUGUCCAAAAGAGGGGUCCCCUUUUUAUAGACUAGGAAUUAGGACUUUCCAAGAAAGGAUGCCAUGAAUCAACACACCAAAGAAAUUUGGAGAAGAAAUUUGGAGUCUCACACACCAAAGAAUUCCUUAAAA
rnacentral:lncRNA from 1 species